rnacentral:lncRNA from 1 species
UGUACAUUUUAUGUUUGAGCUUUACUGGAACCUGUUCUGGUUCAAUACUGCCCAAAUCUUUGCCUUGGGUACACAAAUAAGACAAUAAGUCAAGACAGCCAAUAACCAGCAACCUUGAUUUAAACAACAAAGUAUGAUAUCAUAUCAGUCAAUAGUGUUUCACUUUUUAAAAACAAUGCUACAAUAAAUUAAUAGUAAAUAGAUACUGGCAAAAUAAAAUAAGGAAUUAGGAAUGUGUCAUUGUGGCAUGUUCCUUGAAGAUUGGGGAAGAAUCCUUUACAUCAGUUCAUUCCACCGUCGAGGAGCCUUUAGGAAGGUUUCCACGCGGUCGAGGCAGUGCCAGACGCUGUUCGUUACCGGACCUCAGGGGUACCUCGGGGACGAAUGACCGAUAUGGGUGGGAGGGUGCAGAUCCGGGCACUAUACCCUGAAUGACACUACCAAGGAUUUGAACUUGAUGCGGAUGGUUGUUCGAGACAAAGAGGGAGAUAGGCUUGGCAUGUGUGCUGUGGCGCUCUCCUGCAUUCUGAAUCCUGUGCAUAAGUUUAGCUCCUGCUUAUUGAUGAAGGAUUAUUAUUGUGUUAUUGUUAUUAUCGUUGUUGUUAUUAGGCAUUUUACAGUCAGAUUGUACCUCUCUACCUCAAUAAAAGUUGUAGGGAAAGAAUCACAUUGAUUUUAUUGUGUACAUCAGAACAGAACUACUAAUAAACGAAUAAUAAUAACAUUGAUAUAAAAGUACAGUAUUUUUUGUGUUAUGGUAUUGUGAGAUAAGCACACUAUCACUUUGGAAGUGAUCAAGAUAUGUCACAUUUGUCAUCUUAGACGCCAGGCAUACUGUGUUCUGGGUUCAGUGGAUUGUCUUGAGUGGUUGAGCCUGAAUCUGUCAUGUGCUGCAGAUGAGCCUGGCUCUGAUCCACGACAAGGACCACAUCAAGAACUUCUGGGAGAAGAAGAUAGUGGCCGUUGGGGAGCACUGCGAGACCGAGGAGAUGAGGAAGUCGAAGAGUGCGUUGAGAAAACUGCGGGGCGAGUGGCUGGUGCGUCUGGAGAACAGAAACAAACAUCUGAAGAGCCUCAACGACGAGUACAGCCGCAAAGCCAAGAUGGCCGCGCCGGAGAAGGAGCAGGAGGAGCAGACGUAGGGAACCAUUCUACCGCCUCCUUCAGACUACACUGAUGGCUCCAACAAUAUCACUAUUCGACCACCAUCUCCAGCAUUUCCCUUGUUGUAGUUUACUAUGUAGAGCGGGACACUGAGAUGUUUGGAGGUUCCCAUGCAUGCAAAAGGGGGAUAGAAGGUUAGGCUUGUAUUUUCUGUGUAGUUGAAUGGCUGCAUACUGAGGGAUUAUAGAGUUUGUUUGAUCAUUGGGAAUAGGGCUAAUCACUGGUCAUUAAAUCAGUAACACUGUUCUUUGUGUGAAGUUAGAUAACCUGUGAAUGUAUCUUCAAAGCUGAAGCAGAUUCUGGUCCUAUAUGUCUGUUUGAAGAAUAAAUGCCCUAUUUUUUCCCGUCA